rnacentral:rRNA from 1 species
GAUGAACGCUAGCGGCGAGCUUAACACAUGCAAGUCGAGCGGAGGGUUUCGGCCCUCAGCGGCGGACGGGUGAGUAACACGUAGGUUACGUGCCCUUUGGUGGGGAAUAACUUAGGGAAACCUGAGCUAAUACCGCAUAUGCCCUUCGGGUGAAAGUCUUCGGACGCCAGAGGAUCGGCCUGCGGCCCAUUAUUUAAUCCUUGUUGGUGGGGUAACGGCCUACCAAGGGUACGAUGGGUAGCUGGUCUGAGAGGAUGAUCAGCCACACUGGGACUGAGACACGGCCCAGACUCCUACGGGAGGCAGGCAGUGGGAAUAGUGACAGU